rnacentral:snRNA from 1 species
AGCUUUGCGCAGGUAUUGUAAUCUAUGAGGUUUAUCCGCGACGCGAUUAUUGCUAAUUGAAAAUUUUACCCAAUACCACGCCAUGACGAUUUGAAAAGUAGUCGGCAUUGGCAGUUUUUGAUGGUCUUUCCGGAGA